CGAAUCGGUUCGAAGUUUGAACUCAUCGUCGUCCUCAUCCAUGGCGAGUCAACUCUUGCCUUCCUUCCCUUCCUCCAUUGCUCCUCCAAUGCGCGCAUCCAAUGACAGCAACAGGAACUGCGUCCGCGUCAAUAGCAAUGGCGACGACCAUCCAGUGCUCCAGCUCCUCGACGACUACCGCCGCCUAGACACCAGGGCAAUCCACCGCAUCCACUGCCGCAUGCUCCGCCUCGGCCUCCUCCACCACCCGUUCUCCGCCAGCCGCCUCUUGGUCGGCGCUUCUCUCUCCCCCUCCCCGGACCUGGCCUACGCCCGCCGCCUGUUCGACAGCAUCCCUUUCCCCAACCUCUUCUCCUGGAACACCCUCAUCCGCGCCCACGCCCCCGGCCCCGACCCCCGCCUCGCGCUCCUCCUCUUCGCCCGCUUACUCUCCGAAGGUCCCGACGGCCCCGACAAGUUCACUUUCCCAUUCGCCAUCAAGGCCGCCGCGGCGCUCUCCGCCCUCCGCGAAGGCGCCGCGCUCCACGGCAUGGUCGUCAAGUCCCCUUUUUUUAGCUCCGACAUUUUCAUCCUCAACACGCUCGUCCACUUCUACGCGGCGUGUGGCGAUUCCAGUCUUGCCCUCGGGGUGUUCGACAAUAUCCCGUCCCGAGACGUCGUGUCCUGGAAUUCCAUGAUCACUGCUUUCGCGCUGGGAGACCGCUGGGACGACGCUCUGCGAUUGUUCGAGGAGAUGCAGCGGGAGAACGUGAGGCCCGACGACGUCACCAUGGUCAGCGUCGCUUCCAUCUGUGGGAAAAAGUGUGACUUGGAACUCGGAAGGCGCAUCCAUGCUUACAUCCAGCGAAAUGAUGACAUCGAGGCAAGCUCAAUACUCGACAACGCUUUGCUCGACAUGUACGUGAAGUGCGGAAGCUUGGAGGACGCAGAGUUGCUUUUCCAGAGCAUGGACACGAAGGACUCCAUCUCCUGGACUACCAUGCUUGUUAGGCAUUGCCUACGACCUCGAGCCCUUCAGGGAGGUAGGGAACGCGCUCCUCCUCUCCGGCGGCAGCGAGGGCAUCGUCGCGUCCCGCCUCGACGCCCUUGGUCCCCUACGGAUCGGAGAUGGUCGGGCUUACAUCAAAUAAUAAAGACUUCUCAGAAUGUGAGACCAUCUCUCCCUCAAUUAUGUUAUCAACUCUUUCAGCAAUGGAUUCUUGAGCUGCAAGCAAGCACGCAUGAUUUAUUAAAUAUUGAGAGCCAGGGGAAAUCAUCAGAUUUAGAUAAUCAGUUCAGGAACUCUAACUGCUCCCUGGGAUGACUUGCAGAUUGGUAACCUUGGAAAGGAUGUGAAGGUGGAUUAUUGAAACCUACAUCAAAUGCAUCAGCUUCAUCAGCAAUGUUUCUAGGUUCCAAACCCCACGACAGUAGUGGUCAUCUUCAUUUAGGAAGUGUUAAAUUCUCUUUUUAAGAAACGACAUGCAUACUUACUGCAUGGGUAUGACUCAAAAAGGAAACAUCAUGCUGCUGCAUGGUUGAACGAGGUUCAUGAAUGUGGGAGCUGAUAUGCUCAUCCUCCAUUUUUUUAUAUGGUUAUUUUCUACAGUAUUGAAUUUGUGGAGGGUAGAUGCAUCCACUGACUGGAGGGAGUUAACUACCUCAGAGGGUCAAAUAUAUUACUAUAACACGGCCACAAAGCAAUCCCAAUGGACAAUUCCUGAUGAUCUUAAGGUAGUCCGAGAGCAGGUAGAGAACACUGUUGCUAAUCAAAUGAGACAGAAACGAUUGCAACUGUUAUUUCAAUCGUUGAUUCUGUUUGGAUUUCUUAUUCCUCCAAUCGUGCUGCUUGCAUUAGGACAAGGACUAAGUGCACUUGUCUUCGUAGUGUACAGGAAUCGAAGACCCAGCUUCUCAUUUGGUGUCAUGCUAAAAAUAUUCAUUCUUGCUAUGUUGGGUAUAACAAUUCAGCAAAAUGUAUACUACGUUGGACUCCAUCUCAUUUCUCCAACUGUUGCCAGUGCCUUGGGCAAUGUCGUUCCUGCUUUUACUUUCUUAUUGGCAAUUGUACUGAGGUUGAUUCAGAUAUUAAUUCCAAGUAAUUUUACAGUGAAUUUAGUUCAUUCAAAUAUCAUUCUAUAUUUGGUCUUUUUUUGCUCAGGAUGGAAAAGCUCAACUUGAAGACUGUAAGAGGGAGGGCCAAGCUUGCAGGGGCCAUCUUCUGCAUCACUGGUUCCCUGAUCUUCACAUUUUGGAAAGGUCAUUUUGUUGGGGGCCUUUGUUACUUCACCUAUGAUCCAACUUCAUUUCGAAAGUCCUGAGAAAGGCGAUGCCUGGCUUAAAGGCUCUGCUCUUAUGCUAUUCGGCUAUUUUACAUGCAGUGUAUCACUUGUUCUUCAGGUAUUGCGUCAAUGGUGUCCCUUGUGUUGUCACAUGUAUCGCUUUUGAAGUAAAAAGAAUGUUUGGGUAUUUUAUGGAUAUUGUUGUAAGAAGAUUAUUUAUAUAAUUUGUGAAUAUUUGUGUAUUUUAUGGAUAUUAUUGAAUGAAGAAUAUUUGUACAAUUUGUGAA